rnacentral:lncRNA from 1 species
UCUGAAACAGAUCCAAGAUGUUGUUUGAGCCAUGCAACUAGAAGAUCUCAUAGAACUAAAGUUAUCUAAUUUACAGAAAAGGUUUUACGUGACGUCUAUUGUACAGAUUCAUAUGAAAACCAUAGUUCAAACUCCAAGGUUUAAGAAGUAAGAAAGAUCAUGCCAUUUGCAACAAACAUGCAUGCAUAUUUGAAAAGCAACUGUAAGUAUGCUAUUGGACAUUGGUAAAGAUUGAAUAUCUGACCAUGGCAUAUCAAGAAACCAUGGAAUGAGUACUGCUUAUCAAGAUCUGGGUGUGAGAAGACUUAAAAAGUCAGAUAGUCAGUGAGAACCAGCUAGAAUCCAUGGUCUGUUGUGGGAAAACUAGAAGACCAAAAAAAGCACGAAAGUCAAGAAAGAAGUCUCUUUUCACAUGAAAGUGGCUGUGCUAAUGGUCUAUCAAGAUAUCCUGAGUUUCCAGUAGAGAUGUUUCAGCCAUAACACAGGCCUGGUAGAAAAAGCCUGAAGACAAAUACUGCUAUGAAUGGUUACAUCUAGGACUUCUGAAAUUAGCCCCAGAUUCAACUCAUUUUUUUCUGCAUUUGCUGAGCAAUAUGACAUGUUUACACCGAUUAGCUAAAAAGUUAUGUGAAGAAUGGGCAACAAUAUCUCUAAGGCAAGAUAUGUUCAGAUCCAAUAUAGUUCAUAUAGACCUUGUCAGAGUAAAUGACCAUGUGCCUUUCAGAACACUAAAGAAUAAAAUCCUUCCACAUUAGAAUGACAAAU